UGAGUGUGUGUGUGUGUGUGGGAGUCAGCAUGGCAGACAGAGAUGUGCAUUUCCCCUUUAAGUACGCUGACACCACGCUUAAGUACACUACCUUAUUAAGUUAAUCAGCAAACUGAGACUGCAGCAACUGCUGCCAGGAAGCUCCCUCCAUCCUGAGCCCUGUCAUGGUGUGCCCCCUGCUCUAUGGAGAUGGGGUAAGCGGAGGGCAGGAGCAGGGGGCAGGGGGACAUCCUGACAUUACCCCCCUU